rnacentral:rRNA from 1 species
GAUGAACGCUGGCGGCGUGCCUAAUACAUGCAAGUCGAGCGAACAGACGAGGAGCUUGCUCCUCUGACGUUAGCGGCGGACGGGUGAGUAACACGUGGAUAACCUACCUAUAAGACUGGGAUAACUUCGGGAAACCGGAGCUAAUACCGGAUAAUAUAUUGAACCGCAUGGUUCAAUAGUGAAAGACGGUUUUGCUGUCACUUAUAGAUGGAUCCGCGCCGCAUUAGCUAGUUGGUAAGGUAACGGCUUACCAAGGCGACGAUGCGUAGCCGACCUGAGAGGGUGAUCGGCCACACUGGAACUGAGACACGGUCCAGACUCCUACGGGAGGCAGCAGUAGGGAAUCUUCCGCAAUGGGCGAAAGCCUGACGGAGCAACGCCGCGUGAGUGAUGAAGGUCUUCGGAUCGUAAAACGCUGUUAUUAGGGAAGAACAAAUGUGUAAGUAACGAUGCACGUCUUGACGGUACCGAAGCAGAAAGCCACGGCUAACUACGG